ACUAUGGGUUUUGUGUGCUUUGGGGGUACUAACUCUUCUCUAAAUGAAUAAAUAGAAGGUCAUAUUGACUUGACGAGACAGCGUACCAGAACAAUGGAUAGAGCUGGACUUGGGAGUUGAGAAGACUUGACUUUAAACCUUGCUUCAAACACUUUCCAUCUGUGUGACUGAAAAUAUGACUUCUAUCAGCCUCAAUGUUCCCAUGUAAAAUGGGAAUCAUAAUAGCAUUUCCCUCAGUGUCAUUCUCAAGAUCUGGAAUUCAGCAGAAGAGGACCAGAAAUUCAAUCAACUGUCAUUUGUCAUUCUCCUAUUAUGUGUCUGUCGCUGUUCUCCACUAUGAAUAAUACAGAAGAAUCAGGGGUGUUGUGGUAAAUGUUGAACAACUACCUCUUCAAAUAUUCUCAGAACAUUUAAAACUUUAAUCUGUAUUAUUAACAUUUCCCCCAAAACUUUCUUAAGGCUAGAAAUCAACAAAACAACAAAUCAGUUUCUGAUUUGUGGUAUUUGUUCAUUUCCAAAGUACAAAGUAUUUACACUGAAACUUUAACAAUCAGCAUUCUGGAGCUGGUUCGAGCUGGCUCCAGCACUCUCUAUGAAAAAGACACAUAUCCCUAUCACAAAACUUACCUCCAGUCUACUUAGGGAAGCAAAAACUAAGAAAUAAUACUAAUGAUAACAAAAAUAA